AUUGAACGCUGGCGGCAUGCCUUACACAUGCAAGUCGAACGCGAAAGGGGGGCAACCCCCGAGUAGAGUGGCGGACGGGGGAGUAAUACAUCGGAACGUACCCAGUAGUGGGGGACAACCUCGAGAAAUCGAGGCUAAUACCGCAUACGACCUACGGGUGAAAGCGGGGGACCGCAAGGCCUCGCGCUAUUGGAGCGGGCGAUGUCCGAUUAGCUAGUUGGUAGGGUAAAAGCCUACCAAGGCGACGAUCGGUAGCUGGUCUGAGAGGACGACCAGCCACACUGGGACUGAGACACGGCCCAGACUCCUACGGGAGGCAGCAGUGGGGAAUUUUGGACAAUGGGGGCAACCCUGAUCCAGCCAUGCCGCGUGCGGGAAGAAGGCCUUCGGGUUGUAAACCGCUUUCGGCCGGAACGAAAUCGCCGAGGAGAACAUCCCCGGUGGAUGACGGUACCGGAAGAAGAAGCACCGGCUAACUACGUGCCAGCAGCCGCCGUAACAC
rnacentral:rRNA from 1 species